GUCGAACGAAAAGGCAGAUCGUACGUAUUUCUCAACGGCAAAGAACAACGACAUUAUAAUCGAUUUUGAUAAUACAUUAUUUGUAUUAUUUCUUUUAAAUAAUUACUUUCGAAUUAAUCUUCAUAAUUAAUUCCCAUAAAGGAGAGAAAAAAGAAAAAAGGAAAAAGAAAAAGAAAAGAACGUGAAUCCCUUCUAAGAAUAAGGCCUAUUAUUUUCUUAUUCUGCGAAAAGGAAGACAGGCAGUAUGGGUUUUAUCUCAAUCAUUAACAUAAUUCUCAUAUGCAUAAUUUUUGCAACGAUCACGUUACGAGGCACUGCCGUCAAUAAUAACUUCACUGGGAGACUGAGAUCCUAUACGCCACAAAUAAUUACGGCACCACCGAAAUCAUGUCCAUCUGGAGAAAAACAUGAUUCCGCUGGUGUAUGUCGGAAAAUAAUAUAACGAUAUAAAUUUUCGAAUCGUUCGUAAAAAAAAAAAAAAAAAUAAUUAAUUUUAUAU